CGCCAGGUUCGCCGGGUAGAUUUGAGAGUCCUUGGUGUUUUCGGAUUCCUUUGAACUCGGGUAACCUCGCACGUGACAUCCGUAAGCUCCGCCCAUCGUGGUUCUGGAAAAAUCCCCAUGUGCGAGAAGGUCGACUUUCGCUUCCAGCAAGCUGCGUGACCAGAAAAAAACACACAGGCACCUGUGAACCUGAAAGUUACUGCAUCGCACAACAGGGAAACCGACCUAGCGACUUUACCAUGAGAGUGAACAAAUGCACUUCUUGAAAAAUUGCUGCGAUCAUGCCCAGGCAUCAGGCGAAUUUACAUAUUGAUUCGCCCGAAAAAGAAUGCGAGUCCAACAGGAAGGCUGGAAGCUCUUUUAAAGUCAGAGUGCUUCAAGCGGUUGCAUGAACAAUAUCCAGAGAGUUUGAACAAGGUUGUGGGUGUGGAAGGUAAGCUCACAGACGAAAAAUUGGGCUUGAAAUCCA